rnacentral:sRNA from 1 species
UAUAAAUGCAGGCAUUAGAGUGCGCUGUAUACUCAAGGAACCGAAUUAACGUUUAAGCGGUCUGUAAGGUCGCCGGCCUUGGGGGAGCCACCCCACAGUGGGG